rnacentral:rRNA from 1 species
UGGACGCCAGUCUGCGUGGAGCCGACCUUGAAAUACCACCCUUUAAUGUUUGAUGUUCUAACGUGGACCCGUUACCCGGGUUGCGGACAGUGUCUGGUGGGUAGUUUGACUGGGGCGGUCUCCUCCUAAAGAGUAACGGAGGAGCACGAAGGUUGGCUAAUCCUGGUCGGACAUCAGGAGGUUAGUGCAAUGGCAUAAGCCAGCUUGACUGCGAGCGUGACGGCGCGAGCAGGUGCGAAAGCAGGUCAUAGUGAUCCGGUGGUUCUGAAUGGAAGGGCCAUCGCUCAACGGAUAAAAGGUACUCCGGGGAUAACAGGCUGAUACCGCCCAAGAGUUCAUAUCGACGGCGGUGUUUGGCACCUCGAUGUCGGCUCAUCACAUCCUGGGGCUGAAGUAGGUCCCAAGGGUAUGGCUGUUCGCCAUUUAAAGUGGUACGCGAGCUGGGUUUAGAACGUCGUGAGACAGUUCGGUCCCUAUCUGCCGUGGGCGCUGGAGAACUGAGGGGGGCUGCUCCUAGUACGAGAGGACCGGAGUGGACGCAUCACUGGUGUUCGGGUUGUCAUGCCAAUGGCACUGCCCGGUAGCUAAAUGCGGAAGAGAUAAGUGCUGAAAGCAUCUAAGCACGAAACUUGCCCCGAG